GUGGAGAAGCUACUAAGAGCUUACGGUGGAUGCCUUGGCGCCAAGUGCCGAUGAAGGACGUGGGUCACUGCGAUAAGCCUCGGGAAGCCGUGAACAGGCGUUGACCCGGGGAUUUCCGAAUGGGGAAACCCGCUGGAGCGAACCUCCAGCAUCGCCAGUUGAACACAUAGACUGCGCGAAGGGAACCUGGGGAACUGAAACAUCUAAGUACCCAGAGGAAAAGAGAUCAUUUCCCGAGUAGUGGCGAGCGAAAGGGAAAAAGCCCAAACCAAUCCGGCUUGCUGGGUUGGGGUUGUAGGGCCUGGUAUAUGGGAGUUACAAAGUGGUUAGCUAGCAGAAUGGUGUGGGAAAGCCUACCAAAGAGGGUGAUAGUCCCGUACGCGAAAGUUAAUCGCCUCCCACCAGGUACCUGAGUACUGCCGGGCACGCUAAUCCGGCAGGAAGCUGGGGAGUCCACUCUCCAAGGCUAAAUACACUUGGCGACCGAUAGUGAACAAGUACCGUGAGGGAAAGGUGAAAAGUACCCCGUUGAGGGGAGUGAAAUAGAACCUGAAACCGUGAGCUUACAAGCAGUCGAAGGGCUAAUGGCGGGUCGGUGCUCCGGUGAAAGCCGGGUGCGCGCCGCUAUGCCUGACGGCGUGCCUCUUGGAGAAUGAGCCUGCGAGUUAAUUUCUGUGGCGAGGUUAAGGGAGUGACACCCGUAGCCGUAGCGAAAGCGAGUCUGAAUAGGGCGUUUAGUCGCAGGAAUUAGACACGAAACCGGGUGAGCUACCCAUGGCCAGGGUGAAGCGAGUCUAAACGCUCGUGGAGGCCCGAACCUACUAAUGUUACAAAAUUAGGGGAUGAGCUGUGGGUAGGGGUGAUAUGCCAAACGAACUCGGAGAUAGCUUGUUCUCCCCGAAAUAGCUUUAGGGCUAGCGUCAUGCGUUCAGUACCGGAGGUAGAGCACUGAAUGGGCUAGGGGGCUUAUUGCUUACCAAACCCAAUCAAACUCCGAAUGCCGGUACUCCAGAGCAUGGCAGUCGGACUACGGGAGAUGAGUUUCGUGGUCAAAAGGGAAACAGCCCAGAUCAUCGGCUAAGGUCCCAAAAUCCAAGCUAAGUGGGAAACGAUGUGGGGUUACUGAAACAACCAGGAGGUUUGCCUAGAAGCAGCCACCCUUUAAAGAGUGCGUAAUAGCUCACUGGUCUAGUGAUCCUGCGCGGAAAACUUAACGGGGCUAAGCUUGGUACCGAAGCCAUGGGCCUCAGCGUAAGCUGGGGCGGUAGGGGAGCGUUCUGCCAGCGGUGAAGGUCGACCGUGAGGACGGCUGGAGCGGGCAGAAGUGAGAAUGCAGGCAUGAGUAGCGUAAAACACGUGAGAACCGUGUUCGCCGUAUGUCUAAGGUUUCCGACGCCAGGUCAUUCCGCGUCGGGUUAGUCGGGCCCUUAGUCGAGGCCGAAAGGCGUAGACGAUGGACAGCCGGUCAACAUUCCGGCACCACCUGGAUGGAGCGAUGAGGGGACGCAGCGAGGUAGACCUGCCUGUUAUUGGUAUGCAGGUGCACCUGAUGUCAGACGUUGAGGUCUGUUGGAAAAUCCGCAGACUGAGUUGAGAUCAGGUGGCGAGCCCCUGAGGCAUAAGUGAGUUAAGCCUUGCUGCCGAGAAAAGCCUCUAAGCGUUGAAGUUCGGGUGCCCGUACCGCAAACCGACACUGGUAGACGGGUAGAGUAUACCAAGGCGAACGGGAGAACCUUCGUUAAGGAACUAGGCAAAAUAGCCUCGUAACUUCGGGAGAAGAGGUGCCCCUUCGUGUGAAAGUUCUCUUGAGCACAGAGGGGUCGCAGUGAAAGGGUUCUAGUGACUGGUUAACAAAACCACAGGUCUCUGCUAAGCCGAAAGGCGAUGUAUAGGGGCUGACGCCUGCCCAGUGCCGGAAGGUUAAAGGGAGAGGUUAG
rnacentral:rRNA from 1 species